AGGCUCUGAGGUGUUUUACAUGUUGGGUUGCAAACCC
rnacentral:tRNA from 1 species